rnacentral:rRNA from 1 species
UACGGAGGAUCCAAGCGUUAUCCGGAAUCAUUGGGUUUAAAGGGUCCGUAGGCGGUUUUGUAAGUCAGUGGUGAAAGCCCAUCGCUCAACGGUGGAACGGCCAUUGAUACUGCAAGACUUGAAUUACUAGGAAGUGACUAGAAUAUGGUAGUGUAGCGGUGAAAUGCUUAGAUAUUACAUGGAAUACCAAUUGCGAAGGCAGGUUACUACUAGUGGAUUGACGCUGAUGGACGAAAGCGUGGGGAGCGAACAGG